GACACAGCUUGCCGACAGAUGCACAAAAUCAAUGGAGACAAAUCACAGAUACUCAGAGACGCAGUUCAAAGCUCUGGAGGCCGGAGGCAGAGACGCGGAGUUGCUGAGGGCGGAUGAUAGCAGAAGUCUGCUCGAGUCUGGCACAUGGCUUGGGAAUGUUUUGCUCAGGAUGUGCUUCUAUCGUCUGGCAGAAUGUGAAGGACGCUCUGUAAUGACCCCUGAUAACACUGGAUCCCUUCUCCUUGGAACCACAGUCCCCUCCUAACUGAUGUUACAGGAUGAAGAAACACCCAAGGAACUCGGCCUUGGGAGGACGAAAUAAUAUGACCUGGGAUCACCUUUCCCUUUGAAUCUCAAGAC
rnacentral:lncRNA from 1 species